UGAUUUUUUUAUUAUAAUGACGAAAAAUCGCCGAGAUAGCUCAGU
rnacentral:tRNA from 1 species